ACAGUAAUAUAUUUGUGUCUCUGUAUCAUCUCUCUCUCAGUGAGUGUGAUUGUGAUUGUUGUCUGCGCUUCGUUCGCUCUUCUUCUUCCUGCUCUGAUUCUUUGGCUGAUUCGUAAAAAAAGAGCCGAUGUCAGAAGAGAGACUGAGGACUCUGUGGAGCAGGCUGAUGAUGUGACUUAUACUGAAGUUACUGCGUACAGUAAAAACAGAGCCAAAAAGAACAAGGUUCGCUGUGAUGAUAAAGUGACUUACGCUUCCAUCAGAGGAACAAAAGCUGGAGCUCAGGAAAACUGCAGUCAACUUUAAUCCUCUGUGAACAAGAACCACCACAAAUCACACAAAUAAUUAUACAGAAACCACAUCAGCAGAGGAAUACAAACCGGAUUCCUGAUGGUUUGAUUCAGUGCCAUUAUAAUAAUAGCAGUGUCUUUCACAUGUUAAGAAACAAGCUCUGAUUUAUUUGUAGUUAUUGGUGAUUCUGGUCAGUUUGUCAUGUGUUUUGUACAGUAGCUGUCUGUAUGUGUUUAUUAUUAAUUCAGGAUCUGCAGAGUAAAGUAAAAAUGGAGGAGAGUUUUACUCUGUUAUAUCAUUCUCAUUAAAUCAUCUAGAGCCGGAUGUUCAAAAGUGAUCUGGUCAGAUUUCAGCUGUCGGAUCAGAUCAAAUCUUGAAAAGGUGUUGUUCAAAAGAAGGGCAUUAGGUCACAAAAUCCAGUCUGGUUUUGAUCAGGAUCAAAUCAUCAGUUUGUGGUGUUCAAAAGUUUUUAGUAAGAUUGGGAUACAUUUGAUACAAAAAAAUCAGGAUUAUACUGAUGUCAGCAAAGGGUGGAUUUCACAAAUAAAAUUGAAGUAAAACUUUAAAACUUGUACA
ensembl:lncRNA